GCGGGAAUGCCGGAAUUGGCAGACGGGCCAGACUAAGGAUCUGGUGAUCGCAAGGUCGUGAGGGUUCAAGUCCCUUUUCCCGCA
rnacentral:tRNA from 2 species